GGUCUGAUGGCGUAGUUGGUUAUCGCAUCUGUCUAACAUUAUGUACUGCUUACGUAAUAGUGCCACAGAAGGUCGCCAGUUCGAAACUGGCUCAGAUCA